rnacentral:rRNA from 1 species
GACGAACGCUGGCGGCGUGCUUAACACAUGCAAGUCGAACGAGUGGCGGACGGGUGAGUAAUGUCUGGGAAACUGCCCGAUGGAGGGGGAUAACUACUGGAAACGGUAGCUAAUACCGCAUACCCUCGGAUGUGCCCAGAUGGGAUUAGCUAGUAGGUGGGGUAACGGCUCACCAAGGCGACGAUCCCUAGCUGGUCUGAGAGGAUGACCAGACACCCUGGAAAGAAGACACGGUCCAGACUCCUACGGGAGGCAGCAGUGGGGAAUAGUGCACAAUGGGGGCAAGCCUGAUGAAGCCAUGCCGCGUGUAUGAAGAAGGCCUUCGGGUUGUAAAGUACUUUCAGCGAGGAGGCGUUACUCGCACAAGAAGAACAGGAUAACUACGUGCCAGCAGCCGCGGUAAUAC